rnacentral:lncRNA from 1 species
UCACUCCCUUAGCAGGACUCGACGGCCUCCCUCAGACCCUCGCUGACCUGCCGGCUGCAAACGUGGCCCCUGUGCCGCCACCUCAGUAUUUCUCACCUGCUGUGAUCUUGCCAAGCCUCACAACGCCCCUGCCCACAUCACCGGCCCUGCCUCUGCAGGCUGUCAAGCUGCCUCACCCCCCUGGGGCACCCCUGGCUGUGCCCUGUCAGACCAUCGUGCCAAACGCACCAGCUGCUAUCCCCCUCUUGGCCGUGGCCCCGCAGGGUGUGGCCGCACUGUCCAUCCAUCCAGCAGUGGCCCAGAUCCCAGCCCAGAUCCCAGCCCAGCCUGUGUACCCAGCAGCCUUCCCAGGAAUGGUACCUGGAGACGUCCCUCCCUCACCCCACCACACAGUGCAGAGCUUACGGGCCACCCCUCCACAGCUGGCCUCGUCUGUGCCUCCUCAGUCUGUCCAGCCCAGUGUCGUUCAUCUACCUGAGCAGGCUGCUCCAUCUGCUGCCUCA